AAGCAGCCUGCAGUGUUUGCUAUUGACUGCAUCAUUUUAGAAACCUCUGAGAGCUGCACCAGGAGGAAACCAGUCAGACAUUGAUUCAGGUCUAACCUCUGGCUAUUUUCACUGCUCCCUUCUGGACUCCCUCCAGUUACUCCCACCUUGCAGGAAGUGCCUUUCCCGAAACUGGAUGCAGC
rnacentral:lncRNA from 1 species